rnacentral:lncRNA from 1 species
UUCACGUGCUAUUGAUGGCUCACGGACCGCGUGUUAGCCUACUAAUGAAACAUGUUUAUUACGUGACUUUUUGCGUGUCUUGCUUUUAAGCCACACGUACCUAAAAAUUUGAGCCCUACCCGGCCACGUGUGUGCCAUGCUGUGCAAUUUACCUUGCCGAAACGUGCUAAUACCGUGCCGUACUGUAUGGACAUGUACCGCUCGGCCCGUUGAGCACCUUUAUUGAUAGCACAACGUUAUUUUUCUUAUUAUUUAUAACAAUUCAAUCUAAAAAAGACCAAAAAAAAAGAAAAAAGCUUACUCAAUAUAAGGAAAUUUUGCAACUGCUAUCAAAUUUUACACCUGCUGCCACUCGAGAAAUUUUAGUGGUAGCAGCCAUGGACAUUCUUGGUUCGUCUCAAACAAGUACUGUCGCAGCAAUUUUAAUCACUCUUUUAAUCAUUCUAUACACCUCGUUGUCAGUUUCAAGAAAUUUGCUUAGAAAAUACACAAGCAAGAAGAAGAGGGGAGCACCAGAAGCUGGGGGAGCAUGGCCUGUGAUUGGCCAUCUACAC